rnacentral:rRNA from 1 species
CGAUAGCGUAUAUUAAAGUUGUUGCAGUUAAAAAGCUCGUAGUUGAACUUCUGGCAGGAUAGCCGGCCCUACAAAAGCCUGGCGGUCAUGCCAUCCCCUUUGUAUUGCUAAACAUGCACUUUGUUGUGCAGUUUUGUGGUCAAGGAAUUUACUUUGAAAAAUUAGAGUGUUUCAAGCAGGCUUACGCUAUGAAUACAUUAGCAUGGAAUAAUAAUCUAGGACUUCGGUCUUAUUUUGUUGGUUUCUAGGACUGAAGUAAUGAUUGAUAGGGACAGUUGGGGGUGCUAGUAUUCAGAGGCCAGAGGUGAAAUUCUUGGAUUCUCUGAAGACUAACUUAUGCGAAAGCAUUCACCAAGGAUGUCUCCUUUAAUCAAGAACGAAAGUUGGGGGAUCGAAGAUGAUUAGAUACCAU